UCCUCGAUGGUCUAGUGGUGAUGAUUUCCGCUUGUCAUUCUGUGAGAAGCGCGGGAGACCAGGGUUCGAUUCCCUGUCGGGGAG